AUGAUGAAUGGUCAUGAGUUUUCUUGUUUUUCUGUCCAAAUUGUCCAGUUCCACCAGUGUCCAGUUUAUGAUGCCAGCAGUAUAUCUUAUGACAGGUAUGGCCCAGGUGUUUAUGGCCUUGAUGGUGUUGCCUCCAUUGAGCUUGCUUUUGAGAAUUUUUCUGACCCUUUGAGUGUAUUCACCAGUGUCCAGUUUAUGAUGCCAGCAGUAUAUCUUAUGACAGGUAUGGCCCAGGUGUUUAUGGCCUUGAUGGUGUUGCCUCCAUUGAGCUUGCUUUUGAGAAUUUUUCUGACCCUUUGUGUGUAUUCUUUGCUGACCACAGUUUUCACAUGUUCAUGCUUGAUGUUUGAGGGCAUAAAUAUGCCUAAUGGCCAAACAAUAAAGUGUCACCAACCAGAGGCCUAUAAAUAUCUGGUCAUAUUACAGCUGGACAACAUCAAGCAUGAACAUGUGAAAACUGUGGUCAGUAAAGAAUACACACAAAGGGGCAGAAAAAUUCUCAAAAGCAAGCUCAAUGGAGGCAACACCAUCAAGGCCAUAAACACCUGGGCCAUACCUGUCAUAAGAUAUACUGCUGGCAUCAUAAACUGGACACUGGUGGAACUGGACAAUUUGGACAGAAAAACAAGAAAACUCAUGACCAUUUAUCAUUCACUGCACCCCCGCAGUGAUGUUGACCAGCUAUAUCUGCCUAGAAGAUCAGGGGUCAGAGGACUCUUACAAGUAAAACAAGCAGUGAAAGAAGAGGAACAUGCCCUGGCAGAAUAUGUAAAGCAAAGUGAAGAACCUGCUUUGAUUGAAGUCAAAAAUCAGAAACUCCUCAAAACACAGCAGACAAAGAAUCAGUACAAGAAAACUGCACUACAAACUAGAGCUGACAGCUGGCACAACAAAACAUUGCAUGGAAAGUUCCUUGACAAAAUUGAAGGAAAAGCUGAUAAGGGGAAGACCUGGCUCUGGCUCACAAAUGAGACCCUGAAGAAGGAGACAGAAGGCCUGAUCCUUGCAGCCCAGGAGCAAGCCAUCAGAACAAAUGCAAUCAAGACCAAGAUCGAAAAAUCAACUGAUGACCCAAAAUGCAGACUGUUCAAGGAAGCUGACAAAACCAUUGAUCAUAUCCUCAGCUGCUGUAAGAAAAUCGCACAGACAGACUACAAACAGAGGCACAACCAUGUGGCCCAAAUGAUUCAUUGGAACUUAUGCCUCAAGUACCACCUCCCAGCAGCAAAGAACUGGUGGGAUCACAAACCUGCAAAAGUAUUGUGAAGAACAAAUCCUGCCAAACUAAUUUUAUAUCUAUUUUUCAACCAGUUUACUAGUUUAGUAGAUGGUAGAGAGUAGGGCUGUACAAAUUCUCAUUUGCACCUCGUAUGUCAUAUCUAUUUUGUAAGAUUUGUACAUAUAAGUCAAUAUUAAGAAACGCAGAUGGCGCCCACAUAAAAAACACUGACCUAUGACUUUUGGAAGAGUCAUAUAAGUCUCAUAAAUGGCUCCAAGUCUUUGUCGUGGGUGCUGCUGCUUCUCCAAAAGGGCUAGGUUUGGUUCCUCUAAAGACCCCUGAGGAGAAUGGUGAGGCCAGAGUGGAAAGGUUUUGGUGGGGAAAAACCUAUGUUCACUCUCUAAAUAAAUAAAAAGUGAUUGAUGGGAGUUGAAUCAACCCUCUGAAGCUGGCAAAGUUGAUAUGCAGUAACUUCAAACUUUAGCUAAUAGAUUUCCUAUUAUUGUUAUUUCAAAGGAUGGAUGGGCAUCUGUUGAGGGUGGUUUGACUGUGCUUUUCCUGUCUUGCAGAAGGGGGUUGACUGGAUGGCCCCUGGGGUCUUCCAGUGAAAUAGUAAACUGUUAAGUUUAUGUGAGUUAAAGUUUCCUAAAAAUCAGUGGAUGUUGAAAUCUUUAUGAAACUUGGGGGGAGGAGAGGGAUGAUGCCCUGGUUAUGUUGUACCAUUGAAAAUAGAAAUUCAAGGAGAUAGCUCUUGUAGUUUUUUAAAUGUUGUUCAUAAAAACCUUUUUAAAUUCUCAAAAAUCAAUCGAUGUGUGAAACAUUCUAAAACUUGGUGGGAGGGGGCAGUGGUAAAUGUGUUCUACCAUUGUAGCAAGUUUCAACCAAAUAGCACUAAAAUGAGGGAGAAAGGAGCUCCAGAUGCUCCCCUGCCCCCACUUGAGUAAUUACAUAACGAAAAAGUAACAAAAAUUUCAUUAUCUCAUUAUAGUUAUGAUACAGACCCAUAUUAGAAACUAUAUGCUUCCCCUCCCCAAUUUAGCAAUAAGUACUGAAACUUAUUUCAUUGAUCGCACAAGCCUAGUGGAAAUACUGUCAAUGUCAUUUAUCUAGAUUUCAGAACAGUUUUUGAGAAAGUCAUAGAUAAUGUUUUGAUUUGCAAACUGAUUCAAUGCCGAUUAGAUGGUAACUGUUGUGACUCAGCCUUUGCCUUUGUGUGGUUCUUUGUGUGAUUCUGAUGAGGAUUCUGGGGUGCAAGUGCAUAAUGAUGGGAUUCAGAGUCAGGAUCAGAUUCAGGAUGAGUUUCAGGAUGACUCUGAUGGGAUUCAGCUGCAGUGUGCCUGCUGUGGGAAAUGAAGGGCAAGGAGAUUUUCCCAUGGGAAGAAAUGAGGUUAUUUCUGAUGAUGGAAUUCUGGUGUUGGAAACAGAAAGUAGCUCUGAUAACACUAGUGGGCUCAGCGGCCUUGACACUGGGGCCGCUGAGCUCGAUCGUGCUAGUCGUUUGGAAUUCUGUGGGAUGUGAAGGAGUCUUCGAAUAGCAAACAAACAAGAUGCCAAAGGGCAAAGGAAUGAUUUCAUGCUAUGCUUUUAAAAAGGGUUUGCUGAAAGGGACAUCUUUGUCAGAAGCAACUUCUUAGCUUGGGUCAAGAACCAAGUCAGCUUUCCUGUUUCAAGUCUGCAUUCCUGUAUUACCUUGUAGCCUGGACAUAUUCCUGUGUUUGGGACUUUGGCUUUCUUUAAAAGGAUCUUGUUCUAUGCCUAUGCUUCUAUGGAUUGAAGGAUUACAGCUUUGUUUUUGUAACUAUAUUUUGAAACUGAACUCUUACCUCUUUUGAACUAUUAUUAUACUUAUUUCUCAAUAAACUACAAAAGACUACAUCUUGUGUGCAGCCUGGUGUCUUUAGCAAGGUGAAGCUAUCCUGAGGUGCGACAGUAACACUGUCAAAUGGAUCCAAGUCGUCAUCAUCAAUGGCUGUACUUUGGCUUGGAAGUAAGUCUUGAGUGAAGUAACUUAGAAUUCUAUUCUAAGAGCAUUACUCUUCAACAUUUUAUCAAUAGCUUUAAUCAUGGCUUUAUCUUUUUUAUUAUUAUUGAUGAUUAUUUGAUACAGUUAUAAAACCAGGGGAAUUGUAGUGGGGGAGGGGAAGAGGGGAGGAAGGGAGGAGGGAAGUGAACGGAGGAGUGGUGGUGUUGUAGUUGAGUCUGCUGGAAAUAUUACAAACGGUAGUAGAAGUACUAGUAGGAGAAAAGGGGGUAAUCUGGAGCAGGAGCCAGAUGAGGAACAACAAAGGAAACGGAUCCGGGAGAUACUGAGGAAGACACAUUUGAAGGGUUUUCAAGUGAUGAGGAGUCAAUGAUUGAAGAAGGAGACGGGAUGGAUGUGAAUAGAGGAACUAAAAGGGUUACUCGGGAGCAGGAAUCAGAUGAGGAAUGGGAGAGGAAGAAGCUCCGGGAUAUACUUACUGCUCCCACAGAGGAGGAGUCAUUUUUGGGAUUCUCUGGGGAUGAUGGGUCUGAGAGUAAUGAAAAUGUGGAGGGCACAUCGGACCGGACGAGGGUACAAGAAAUGAGGGAUGUAUUUGCAGAGCCAACUUCUGGUGAUACGUUUGUGGGGUUUUUGGAACAGGAGGAUUGGCAAACAGCUGAUACACCUGGGGCAUGGGGAGACCUAAGUCUUGAUAGGAGAUGAAGGAACUGGAGGGAUGAUGGGUGGGGUUCACGUGUAAUGACAGGAACAGCUGUGAGGGAUGAUGAUGGGGUGGAGGCCAGCUCAUCUUCAGAUAAUGAUGUGUAAGUUAAAAGUAGGGUCUGAAAUGGGGCAAAGUGUCGUUUUGGCAUAGGUUUGUCCUUGCCUGUUUUUCCUGUUGGGCUUAGGGUCCUGGCUCUACAGCUUGGCAUUCCUGGUUCCUGUGAUUCUUGGAUUUGGACUCAAGUAUCGUGAGUGUCCUUUUCUCCCUUCCUGGACCUUUGGACCAGCGACUUCAGCUUUGUUUGAUGACCCUCGGUUACGACGUUUAGACUGGCUUUUCGUGGACGCAGAUUUCUCCCUUCCUGGCUUUGGAUUUACUUGACUUCAGCUUCGGUUACCUGCUUCCGUAAAUUACCUUUGAAUUGGCUAUCGUGAGUGCGGCUUUCCUUUCUUCCUGGCUCCUGGCUUGGCUCAACUGCAGCUUGUGUAAACAACUUGGGGACGACGUUAGUUUGGACCUUCGUUUUGCUAUUCUGUUGAACUUUUACUGGUUUUGUUUACUUUGGUGUGCAGCGCUAACUUCCAGGAAGCCUGUUUCAGCACUGUUUGUUGCCAAUUCCAUUGACUGUUUUAAUCUGGAUUAUCCAUCCAUUUAAUCCGGAUUAUUUUCCAUUUUGCCUUUUAAGACCAGUUUGGGCGAAGACUUUGAGUUUUUGGUCAGAGACACUGCAUUUAAGUAUCUCUGAGCCUGUUUUUGAGUUUCAAUAAAACUUUUGUUAACACUGAGUAUUGUGUGUGUUGCUCUUUAAGACGCUUGUGUUCCGACAGGUGGGGAUGGGGAGGGGUGAAUAAAAGAGGAAAGGAAAGAGGGAGAGGAGAGAGGUUCUUUGGGGCAAUGAGAUUUAUAGGUAAUAGAGUAUAAUCUAUUAUACCAACUCUACUAUUCUAUCUCUACUAUUCUAUGAUUCUAUGAUCUCCUGGUGGUGCAUGCGGUUGGAUGUGAAAAAGUAGUUAUGAGUUCUGGGAGGGGGGGGGAACCUUCUCUUCAUAUGACAUCAUUAUUGUGGUUGCUUGGAUUGUCUAAUUCUUCUUUUUCAUGUGUCAUUUCCUCGGUCUGUAUCCGUCUUUUUCUUAUGUAUUCUUUGAAAGUUGACCAAUCUGUUUCUUUUAUUGGUUUUCCUUGGUGUUUCUUCAUCAAAAACAUCAAUCUGUCCAUAUUUUUUAUUUCCCAUAUCUUCAAUAUCCAUGGGUCAACUGUAGGGAUCUGGUUCAGUCUCCAUAUCUUGGCAAAGACUAUUCUGGCUCCUAUAACCAGGUAGUUUAAAAUCUUUUCCUCGUUUGUGUCUAGCUUCAAAUUAGCUAGGCCUAGUAGAUAUAGUUCUGGUCUCAUUUGGAAUUUCUUUUUCAUUAUCUUUAUGCAUUCCUUGUGGAUUUCCUUCCAGUAUUCCUUCGUUUUGGGACAAGACCACCACAUGUGGUAAAAUUUGCCCUCAUGCUCUUGACACUUCCAACAUUUCAUUUGAAUAUUUUUGUUGUAAUGGCCUAAUUUUUUUGGGGUAAUGUAUAAUCUAUAUAACAUUUUGUUUUGUAUAACAUUUUUUUUAAAAUUGGUGGCAUAUGUAUAUUUUAUGUUUUUCUUCCAGAUUGAUUCCCAUUCUUCGUAAUUGAUUGAUCUUCCAAUGUCUCUAGCCCAUUGAAUCAUGCUUUCCUUAAUUUGCUCUGUCUCAGUGUUCCACUCCAGUAGUUUCUUGCAGAUCUUUGUAAUUGUCUUGUUUUCGGACUCCAGUAUUUUUUCCCAAUCUGAAUCUUUCUUCAUAAAGCCUUCUUGGUUAUCCUUGUUAUAUUGCUCCUUUUUUUGCCUGAAGUGGAGCCAUGAUAGUUGUCUAAAUGGUUUCAGGGCUACUUCUUGAGUUUUUAGGGUAUAUUUGUUAUCUUGUUUUAUCAAAAUAUCUUUGUAAGUUGACC
ensembl:lncRNA